rnacentral:misc_RNA from 1 species
CAGGGGGAGUUUGUAAGUACC